rnacentral:rRNA from 1 species
AGCAGCCGCGGUAAUUCCAGCUCCAAUAGCGUAUAUUAAAGUUGUUGCAGUUAAAAAGCUCGUAGUUGAAUUUCGGGACCAAUUUGUUGGUCGUGCCUCGGUACGUACUGGUAUUACUGGUCUCUCUCUUCUGACGAACCAUGAUGUCAUUAAUUUGGUGUCUUGGGAAAUCAGGACUGUUACUUUGAAAAAAU